AGCGAACGUUAGCGGCAGGCCUAACACAUGCAAGUCGCACGAGAAUUGGGCUUCGGCCCAUGGUAAAGUGGCGGACGGGUGCGUAACACGUGGAUAAUCUGCCCUUCGGCGGGGGACAACAGCCCGAAAGGAUUGCUAAUACCGCAUACGUCGGCGAGCUCUUCGGAGCUUGUCGGGAAAGAUGGCCUCUCCAUGGAAGCUAUCACCGAAGGAUGAGUCCGCGGCCCAUCAGCUAGUUGGCGGGGUAAUGGCCCACCAAGGCGAAGACGGGUAGCUGGUCUGAGAGGAUGAUCAGCCACACUGGAACUGAGACACGGUCCAGACUCCUACGGGAGGCAGCAGUGGGGAAUAUUGGCAAUGGGCGCAAGCCUGACCCAGCUAUGCCGCGUGAGUGAUGAAGGCCUUCGGGUCGUAAAAGCUCUGUGGGAGGGAAGAACAAGCCUGUGGCUACAUCCACGGGCCCUGAGCGGUACCUCCUUAGCAAGCACCGGCUAACUCCGUGCCAGCAGCCGCGGUUAUACGGAGGUGCAAACGUGCUCGAAUUAUUGGGCGUAAAGCGCACGUAGGCGGCCGACUAAGUCGGGUGU
rnacentral:rRNA from 1 species